rnacentral:tRNA from 1 species
AYAAAGCAAGGCACUGAAAAUGCCUAGAUGAGUGUACUAACUCCAUAAACA